rnacentral:rRNA from 1 species
AAGAACAAAUUUGUUAGUAACUGAACAAGUCUUGACGGUACCUAACCAGAAAGCCACGGCUAACUACGUGCCAGCAGCCGCGGUAAUACGUAGGUGGCAAGCGUUAUCCGGAAUUAUUGGGCGUAAAGCGCGCGUAGGCGGUUUCUUAAGUCUGAUGUGAAAGCCCACGGCUCAACCGUGGAGGGUCAUUGGAAACUGGGAAACUUGAGUGCAAAGUAGCAGAGUGGAAUUCCCUGUGUAGCGGUGAAAGGC